UACACCGAAACACCGGUUCUCGUAAGAUCACCGAAGUUAAGCAACGUCGAGCUUGGUCAGUACCUAGAUAAGUGACCGCUGUAAACUU